AAGUCGCACGGGUGUAGCAAUACAUCAGUGGCGAACGGGUGAGUAAUGAAUCGCUAACGUACCCUGGACUCUGGGAUAGCUGACCGAAAGGUCAGGUAAUACCAGAUGAUAUAACUUUGUCGCAUGACAGAGUUCUCAAAGGUCCGCCGGUCUUGGAGCGGGCGAUUUCGUAUCAGCUAGUUGGUGAGGUAACGGCUCACCAAGGCGACGACGCGUAGCCGGACUGAGAGGUUGGCCGGCCACAUUGGGACUGAGACACUGCCCAGACUCCUACGGGGGGCUGCAGUAACGAAUCUUCCGCAAUGCACGAAAGUGUGACGGAGCGACGCCGCGUGUGGGACGAAGCCCUUCGGGGUGUAAACCACUGUCAGGGGAAAGAAAGUUCUGAUCUACCCCAGAGGAAGAGGCGGCUAACUCUGUGCCAGCAGCCGCGGUAAUACAGAGGCCUCGAGCGUUAGGCGGAAUCACUGGGCUUAAAGCGUGUGUAGGCGGACUUCUAAGUACCUUGUGAAAUCCCACGGCUCACCCGUGGAACUGCUCGGUAUACUGGUCGUCUUGAGCCUUCUAGGGGCGAGUGGAACAAAUGGUGGAGCGGUGAAAUGCGUAGAUAUCAUUUGGAACGCCAAUGGUGAAAACAACUCGCUGGGGAAGUGCUGACGCUGAGACACGAAAGCCAGGGGAGCGAACGGGAUUAGAUACCCCGGUAGUCCUGGCCGUAAACGAUGUCGACUAGAUCGUGGUGCCUCUGACGGUUUCACGGUCGAAGCAAAAGUGCUAAGUCAACCGCCUGGGAAGUACGGUCGCAAGGCUAAACUCAAAGGAAUUGA
rnacentral:rRNA from 1 species